UACGUAGGGUGCAAGCGUUAAUCGGAAUUACUGGGCGUAAAGCGUGCGCAGGCGGUUUCUUAAGUCAGAUGUGAAAGCCCCGGGCUUAACCUGGGAACUGCGUUUGAAACUGGGAGACUUGAGUGUGGCAGAGGGGGAUGGAAUUCCGCGUGUAGCAGUGAAAUUCGUAGAUAUUCGCAAGAACACCAGUGGCGAAGGCGGCUCACUGGCCCGAUACUGACGCUGAGGUGCGAAAGCGUGGGGAGCAGACAGG
rnacentral:rRNA from 1 species